rnacentral:rRNA from 1 species
GAGGGGGCAAGCGUUGUUCGGAAUUACUGGGCGUAAAGGGCGCGUAGGCGGCCCGCUAAGUCGAACGUGAAAUCCCCAGGCUCAACCUGGGAACUGCGUCCGAUACUGGCAGGCUUGAAUCCGGGAGAGGGAUGUGGAAUUCCAGGUGUAGCGGUGAAAUGCGUAGAUAUCUGGAGGAACACCGGUGGCGAAGGCGGCAUCCUGGACCGGCAUUGACGCUGAGGCGCGAAAGCUAGGGGAGCAAACGGGAUUAGAUACCCCGGUAGUCCUAGCCCUAAACGAUGAAUGCUUGGUGUGGCGGGUAUCGAUCCCUGCCGUGCCGAAGCUAACGCAUUAAGCAUUCCGCCUGGGGAGUACGGUCGCAAGGCUG